rnacentral:rRNA from 1 species
GGGCAUGAUGAAUAUUAAUUUGUAUUAAUAAUAGAAAUUUGAGUUUUUUGGCUCUGGGGAUAGUAUGAUCGCAAGAUUGAAAAUUAAAGAAAUUGACGGAAGAAUACCACAAGGAGUGGAUUGUGCGGCUUAAUUUGACUCAACGCGAGGUAACUUACCAAUAUUUUAUUAUUUUGAGAGAACGGUUUUUUGUUUGAGA